rnacentral:rRNA from 1 species
GUCUUUUUGAAAAUAAUUUAAAGUCUAAUCUGCCCACUGAAAAUUUUAAAGGGCCGCGGUAUUUUGACCGUGCAAAGGUAGCAUAAUAAUUAGUUUUUUAAUUGAGGACUAGAAUGAAUGAUUGAACGAGGUGUUGACUGUCUCAAUUUAAAUGUUAAUAGAAUUUAAUUUUUAAGUUAAAAAGCUUAAAUAAAAUUAAAGGACGAGAAGACCCUAUAGAGCUUUAUAUUUUUAUUAUAAUUUAUUUAUAGGAAAAAUUAAAUUUUAUAAAAAAAUAUAUUUUGUUGGGGUGACAGGAAGAUUUAUUAAACUCUUUUUAUUUUAAAACAAUAAUUUUUGAAAUAUUGAUCCAUUUUUAGUGAUUAUAAGACUAAGUUACCUUAGGGAUAACAGCGUAAUUUUUUUUGAGAGUUCAUAUCGACAAAAAGGAUUGCGACCUCGAUGUUGGAUUAAGGGUUAUUUUUGGGUGUAGAAGUUCAAAAUUUAGGUCUGUUCGACCUUUGAAUCCUUCAUGAUCUGAGUUCAAACC